rnacentral:rRNA from 1 species
UACACUCAGGGAUAGCCUUUCGAAAGAAAGAUUAAUACCUGAUGGUAUGAUGAGAUUGCAUGAUAGCAUCAUUAAAGAUUUAUCGGUGUACGAUGGGGAUGCGUUCCAUUAGGUAGUAGGCGGGGUAACGGCCCACCUAGCCAACGAUGGAUAGGGGUUCUGAGAGGAAGGUCCCCCACAUUGGAACUGAGACACGGUCCAAACUCCUACGGGAGGCAGCAGUGAGGAAUAUUGGUCAAUGGACGAGAGUCUGAACCAGCCAAGUAGCGUGAAGGAUGAAGGUCCUACGGAUUGUAAACUUCUUUUAUAAGGGAAUAAACCCUCCCACGUGUGGGAGCUUGUAUGUACCUUAUGAAUAAGCAUCGGCUAACUCCGUGCCAGCAGCCGCGGUAAUACGGAGGAUGCGAGCGUUAUCCGGAUUUAUUGGGUUUAAAGGGAGCGCAGACGGGUCGUUAAGUCAGCUGUGAAAGUUUGGGGCUCAACCUUAAAAUUGCAGUUGAUACUGGCGUCCUUGAGUGCGGUUGAGGUGUGCGGAAUUCGUGGUGUAGCGGUGAAAUGCUUAGAUAUCACGAAGAACUCCGAUUGCGAAGGCAGCACACUAAUCCGUAACUGACGUUCAUGCUCGAAAGUGUGGGUAUCAAACAGGAUUAGAUACCCUGGUAGUCC